AAGUGAUCAGUCUCAGAGAGACCACCAAGACAUAGAACCAGGAUAAGUGAUCAGUCUCAGAGAGACCACCAAGACAUAGAACCAAGGAUAAGACAAUGAAUUACAAAACAAAGAUUCACCUUUCUCUAAUGCUGUUUAGAACAUUAAAGCACAGAAAAAUGUCAAUAAAAUGUCUCUCAUACUGUAUUAUACAUACAAUGAUUUCUACCACACACCCAUUGCACUUAUGGCUAUGACAACCCGUGUAUCCUGCAAUCAUCAAAAGUUGCUCACAUUUUUGUUUAUUUAUUUCAUUUCUACUGGUUCAUGUUUUGCUGCUCACUGUCAUGGAAUUACUCUACAUUCAGUCAUCACAUUCAUUUGAUCUUGCCUGUACCCACUAUGUCAUACAUAUACACUCAGUCAUCACAUUCAUUUGAUCU